UAGUAGUAGAAGAAGAAGAAGAAGAAGAAGAAGAAGAAGAAGAAUAAGAAGAAGAAGAAGAACAAGAAGAAUAAGAAGAAGUAGUAGUAGUAGUAGUAGUAGUAGUAGUAGUAGUAGUAGUAGUAGUAGUAGUAGUAGAAGUAGCAGCAGCAGUAGUAGUAGUAGUAGUAGUAGUAGUAGUAGUAGUAGUAGUAGUAGAAGAAGAAGAACAAGAAGAAGAACAAGAACAAGAAGUAGUAGUAGUAGUAGUAGUAGUAGUAUUAGUAGUAGUAGAAUAAGUAGAAGAAGAAGAAGAAGUUGAAGUAGUAGUAGUAGUAGUAGUAGUAGUAGUAGUAGUAGUAGUAGUAUUAGUAGUAGUAGUAGUAGUAGUAGAAGAAGAAGAAGAAGAAUAAGAAGAAGAAGAAGAAGAAGAAGUAGUAGUAGUCAUCGUCGUCGUCGUAGUAGUAGUAGUAGUAGUAGUAGUAGUAGUAGUAGUAGUAGUAGUAGUAGUAGAAGAAGAAGAAGAAGAAGAAGAAGAAGAAGUGUAGCGACCCGACUCAAAAUGAGCCAAGCCUCUGUGUAUCUGUGCCAUCCCUGGAUCAGUAUGCUGGCACACAUAGUACAUCAAUGUAUAUAUCAAAGUGCAAUCACAUGUAAAUAGCGUAAAACUGAUAUAUACCUUAAAUAUUUCAACGGAAGCAGUCAAGGGAGUGGAGUCCCAAUAAACACCAACGGCAAGUUGAGUGUAGACCAUAACCCUGAAUCGUACUCUUACUCGUUGAAGAAAAAUAUCUGCAACAUAAGACGUUACAGCCGUGUAGGUCAGCAUAUUGAAUAUGCCGGCAAGUCACAUAUGAGAGGGGGUAAAAUAUCAUCUAUACUAUAUGCAUAUAUGGCAGGUGGUGUUGUAAGUUUUAGCGUAAAGCAAAUUUUCUCCUACAAAAAGAGAGGGCUAAAAAGCAAAAUGUUACUACAUUGUUGGUUGUUAACGAGAUGGUUCCGCCAACCAGUUCUCGUAGCCGAGUUGUCAAUAAUUACCGUCAUCAAAUAUAUUUAAUGGUGUUGAGAAAUCCAGAUAACUUCAGUUCCUUUGGCUCAAGUUGUCCAUGACCGUGGACACGGCUAAUCGAUUAGGUUUGAGUACUCUGCAGAGUUUUGCACACGUUCCCCACAAGAUUUGAUCGCCUCCGUGUAUGUCCUCACACUUCAGGGUCUUUGAAGACCGGAUGAUCAAAACAUGGUCUUUCAACGGGUCCCUCUGAAUCCCUGUCGGUGCCCAUCCAUUCCUACCGUUCUUCUACAUCUGCUAGCACCACCUGUCCAGAGUCGCCGCAUUGUCCAACCAAGCCAGAGCCCAUAAUGACUUGUGGCUGUGCAGGUAAGCCUUGGGUCUUGAAAAUAUCCGUCCGUCUCUAUGAGCCUGGGUGAAGCUUUCCGCAGGAUGUCAUGGCCUCUCCAGCAUCCCGGGUCAUCCACUGGGUUCUCCGGGGAGCCGAUCAACCGUCCUUCACCCAGAGUUGCAUGGCGUCCGAGGUCUUGAAAAUCUUGUCUUAACCGGUCUUGAUUAUUUAAUCAACCUUGCAUCACUCGUGUUAUGCACUCAACCGAAAUCCCAUCUACUCAAGCAUAGCAAUAUGAAAUUUGUCGUCCCGGACAAGUAACGGGGUUGUUGGGUGCCUACAACAUGAUACCACAAUCUAUACUAAAAUUUCCAAGUACCUAAGCAGCAUGCAAUUGGGCAUAGGAUGGUAGAACUACGAUGCAUAAAACAUAGGUGAUAGUAUGAUCAAAGUGACUUGCCUGGUAUGUUGACGAAGAAGAAUUUCUCGAGAAAUAACUUGAUAGACUACUCGUCACUCUCCGAUGAAAUCUAUAUAACAAACAUAUCAUUCACAUAAGCACUCGUACUAGCAAUCAUUCUAACAAUCAAAACAAAAUAGAGAGCGAAUAGGAAACCGAAAGAAACUUCAAAUAAGACUAGGGAGUCUUCAACUACGUCAAACACUAAAUAGUUUUUGUCCAGCAGAAAAUAAAAACAAGGAACUAAGAUAAAAAUCUAACUAAGAUAAAAUAAAGUAUUUUUCACAAAACUUUUUGAAAGUAUUUCCGAACGGGAUUCGAAACAGUGGAGAAACCAAUUGCAAGUUACUAUGGAACUAGAAUUGAUUUCAUGAAAACAAAUAAAAAUAAAAUAAAAACUUGUUGCAAAACUACUAUUUAACUAACAUAAACAAAACAAUAAUCUUUCUGAAAUAAUAAAGAAAAUAUUUUAAAACAAAAAUAGAAAAGGAAUUAGCCGAAAUCCUAAAAGAGGUCAAACAGAAAUUGUUUCACAAGAAACAGUGAGCUAAAAUACUCAAACAAAUCUGAAAUGUUUACCACUGAUAAAUAAGAUCACUAGUGAUCAGUAGCAAAAAGAAUCGAAUUAAAAGCUAUUUUUAAACUCCUGGAAUAGGCAAAACAAGGUUUAAACUAAAUCUGAUCUAACUAAAUUAUAUGUUUUUAAAAACUACAGGAAAUUUGUGAGCUAGUGGAAAAAGAAUCACUAUCAUUGGACUUCGGGAUCAAAAGUUAUGGCCAAAACAAAACAGAAACUUUGCUAUUUUUGGAACUAGACAGAAAAAGAGAAUAAUUGCUACAGACACGUGGCGCUCACUGAUUGGCUAAGGGGUGUUUGCUGCAUAGGCUAAACAGCGGAUGGCCGCUAAAUAAGAAAAAUGCUUUGGUUCACUUAACUGAUGGAUCGGUUCUUUUUAGAAAACCGAAGGGGUAAGUACCUAUGUAAUCUACACCGUAGCUCCUUAUCUAAGGGAUGAAACUAGACAAUAAAAGAAUAGAACAAGUAGCAGGAAAAAAAAGAAAGAGGAGAGGGAUUACCUCCCGUGGGUGAACCCAGCACGGGCUGGAGCUUUCUCCGGCGUUGGGGAGCGAGACUCCAGGGGGGUGGCGAGGCUCCAAGGGGGGUGGCGAGGGGGAGUGGCGAGGGGGAGNNNNNNNNNNNNNNNNNNNNNNNNNNNNNNNNNNNNNNNNNNNNNNNNNNNNNNNNNNNNNNNNNNNNNNNNNNNNNNNNNNNNNNNNNNNNNNNNNNNNGGGUUCUUUUUCUUCUUUCUGGACUCCUUCAUUUUGGCCAGUUCUUCUAUUUCAAGUGGAUCAAACUCCACUUCUUCCGUCGGGAAGUUUCCCAGAUACUCUUGGCUUCCCUUCGUGCAAUCCUGUGAAUAAUGUCCUUCUUCUCCACAUGAGUAGCAUGCAUUGGAGAAAAAUCUGGUCAGACCUUGUCCAUCAGGGUCUUCAAUAUUUUCGUUCAUCACCGGCUCUUCUAAAAUCUUCUUCUUCAGGGUUUCCUUCACUGCAUCUUUCAGCUGCUUGACAACUUGUUGCACCUUGGGGUAAAUGUGACACUGAGCUGGGUAGUGGGUGGUUCCUUCACAAAGGAAACAAGUCACCUGACUACUUGGGCACUCCUCAGCUGGGUGAUUUUCUUCACAAUGAGUGCAUCCAUGCUUGUGUUCUUCCUGAGUGUGUCCUAUUUCUCCACAGAUCUUGCAUGCACAAGUCUUCUCCUUCGGAUUAUCAUAGCACUUCUGAAUAAGACGGGGUCUUAACAAAGUCUUCUUGAAUUCGUCCCAAGUUUCUGCUUCACUAAAUCCUUGUAUGGCAUGGUGCAUUUUCCACCAGAUAGCAGCACUUUGGGUAAAGUACUGGAGAGCGUGUUCCACUUCAUACUUCCUUGAGAUCAAGUUGCUCCCGAAGUGGUUCUCCAUGUUCUGAAUCCAUAUUUCAGCUUCCAGCUGGGUCAUUGGUCCAGAGACUACAAGUCCAGCUUCAUACUCCAUCUGGUAGGGUUGAGGUUUUGGGGAUGAGACGGGUAAGAGAGGGAGGGAGAUACACACAAUACAAACAAUAUUUUUGAGAACGGGUUUUAUUUGUGGCUGUCGAAAAACACACACCAAUGACGGUUCACAAAUCAUCGUAUCUAACGUGGGUACAUAAAAGGGGUUUGGACUUCUAAUGGUCAUAUAAUUAUUCGAACACUUCAGGGUCUUCGAGUCCUUCGGGUCUUGAGAGUCUACUGUUGGUGUAGCUUCAAUUCUUCAAACGCGUGGUGAAAUCCUCUUUACUUUGAAGUGGGAGUCGGUUGAUCCUUCACGUGGUCAAAGGGGAAAGGGCAUAUUUGAGGUGAGAGAGAACGUUUGAUGAAAUCAGAAGAGAUGAGAAGUAAAAAGUGUUCUUGAAAAAAUAGAAGUUUUGAGAGAUCCUUUCCUAAGAGAUUUCCAAUUUCUAGGGUCAUGUCCUACAGUCAACAUGUGCCCUGAUACCAUUUCUGUAGCGACCCGACUCAAGACGAGUCAAGCCUCUGUGUUUGUGUGCCAUCCCUGGAUCAGUAUGCUGGCACACACAGUACAUCAAUGUAUAUAUCAAAGUGCAAUCACAUGUAAAUAGCGUAAAACUGAUAUAUACCUUAAAUAUUUCAGCGGAAGCAGUCAAGGGAGUGGAGUCCCAAUAAACACCAAUGGCAAGUUGAGUGUAGACCGUAACCCUAAAUUAUACUCUUACUCGUCGAAGAAAAAUAUCUGCAACAUAAGACGUUGCAGCCGUGUAGGUCAGCAUAUUGAAUAUGCCGGCAAGUCACAUAAGAGAGGGGUGAAAAGUAAUCAUCUAUACUAUAUGCAUAUAUGGCGGGUGGGGCUAUAAGUUUUAGCGAAAAGCAAGUUUUCUCCUACAUCAAGAGAGGGGCUAAAAGCAAAAUAUUAGUACGUAGUUGGUUGUUAAUGAGAUGGUUCCGCCAACCAGUUCUCAUACCCGAGUUGUCAAUAAUUACCCUCAUCAAAUAUAUUUAAUGGUGUUGAGAAAUCCAGAUAACUUCAGUUCCUUUGGCUCAAGUUGUCCAUGACCGUGGACACGGCUAACCGAUUAGGUUUGAGUACUCUGCAGAGUUUUGCACACGUUCCCCACAAGAUUUGAUCGCCUCCGUGUAUGUCCUCACACGUCAGGGUGUUUGAAGACUGGAUGAUCAAACCAUGGUCUUUCAAUGGGUCCCUCUGAAUCCCUGUCGGUGCCCAUCCAAUCCUACCAUUCUUCUACAUCUGCUAGCACCGCCUGUCCAGAGUCGCCGCAUUGUCCAAACCAAGCCAGAGCCCAUAAUGACUUGUGGCUGUGCAGGUAAGCCUUGGGUCUUGAAAAUAUCCGUCCGUCUCUUUGAGCCUGGGUGAAGCUUUCCGCAGGAUGUCAUGGCCGUCCCCAGCAUCCCGGGUCAUCCACUGGGUUCUCCAGGGAGCCGAUCAACCGUCCUUCACCGAGAGUUGCAUUGCGUCCGAGGUCUUGAAAAUCUUGUCUUAACCGGUCUUGAUUAUUUAAUCAACCUCGCAUCACUCGUGUUAUGCACUCAAGCGAAAUCCCGUCUACUCAAGCAUAGCAAUAUGAAAGUUGUCGUCCCGGGGCCAAGUAUCGGGGUUGUUGUGUGCCUACCACAUGAUACUACAAUCUAUACUAAAAUUUCCAAGUACCUAAGCAGCAUGCAAAUUUGGGCAUAGGAUGGUAGAACUACGAUGCAUAAAACAUAGGUGAUAGUAUGAUCAAAGUGACUUGCCUGGUGAUGUUGACGAAGAAGAAUUUCUCGAGAAAAUAACUUGAUAGACUACCCGUCACUCUCUGAUGAAAUCUAUAUAGCAAACAUAUCAUUCACAUAAGCACUCAUACUAGCAAUCAUUCUAACAAUCAAAACAAAAGAGAGAGCGAAUAAGAAUCCGAAAGAAACUUCAAAUAAGACUAGAGAGUCUUCUACUACGUCAAACACUAAAUAGUUUUGUCUAACAGAAAAUAAUAAAAUGGAACUAAGAUAAAAUAAAAUAUUUUUCACAAAACUAUUUGAAAGUAUUUCCAAACGGGAUUUGAAACAGCGCGGAAACCAAUUGCAAGUUACUAAGGAACUAGAAUUGAUUUCAUGAAAACAAUUAAAAAUAAAAUAAAAAAACUUGUUGCAAAACUAUUGUUUAACUAACAUAAACAAAACAAAAAUCUUUCUGAAAUAAUAAAGAAAAUAUUUUAAAACAAAAAUAGAAAAGGAAUUAGCCGAAAUCCUAAAAGAGGUGAAACAGAAAUUGUUUCACAAGAAACCAUAAGCUAAAUUACUCAAACAAAUCUGAAAUUUCUACCACUGAUAAAUAAGAUAACUAGUGAUCAGUAGCAAAAAGAAGCAAAUUAAAAUCUAUUUUUAAACUCCUGGAAUAAGCAAAACAAGGUUUAAACUAAAUCUGAUCUAUUUAAAUUUGAAAAUUUCCAACAUAGACAAAUUAUAUGUUUUUAAAAAUUACAGGAAAUUUGAGAGCUACAGGAAAAAUAAUCAACAUCAUUGGACUUCGGGAUCAAAAGUUAUGGCCAAAACAAAACAGGAACUUUGCUUUUUUUGGAACUAGACAGAAAAAGAGAAUAAUUGGUACAGACACGUGGCGCCCACUGAUUGGCUAAGGGUGUUUGCUGCAUAGGCUAAACAACGAAUGGCCGCUAAAUAAGAAAAGUUCUCUGGCUAAAAGUUAAGUGAAUAAAAACCGGCGGUUUUUGUUUAAAAACCGAAAGGUUAUCCUACUCUAAUCUACACCGUUGAAAAUAGAUCUAAGGGUAAAACUAAAAAAAACAAAACAACGAAAAAAAAGAAAGGAAAGAGGGGCCUUACCGUGAUGGAAGUUGCUCCCGUGCUGGAGCCUUCUNNNNNNNNNNNNNNNNNNNNNNNNNNNNNNNNNNNNNNNNNNNNNNNNNNNNNNNNNNNNNNNNNNNNNNNNNNNNNNNNNNNNNNNNNNNNNNNNNNNNGUAGUAGUAGUAGUAGUAGUAGUAGUAGUAGUAGUAGUAGUAGUAUAUUAGAAGAAGAAGAAGAAGAAGAAGAAGAAGAAGAAAAAGUAGUAGUCGUAGUAGUUGUAGUAGUAGGAGUAGUAGUAGAAGAAGAAGAAGAAGAAGAAGAAGAAGUAGUAGUAGUAGUAGUUCUUCAGGGGGAGUUUCUCUGAAUCUUGUUUUCAAAUUCCUCAAAUGAGUAUUUACACUUCAUAUUUUUGAUCCCUGUUGAAGACUUAACCUAAUUGUCAUCAACCACCAAAAAGGGAGAGAUUGUAAGUGCAUCUAGUGCCCCUUAGUGAUUUUGGUGGAUUGAAGACUUAUAUGUUAAGUAUCUAAUGUGUUUGUGAGUAUACACAGGAUCUAUAAGUCAUUGAGGAGUUUGAGAUAUUUGAAGAAUAUCGACCCCUAAAAAUAUAUGUCUUUACUUGAAGAAAUUGAUCUGAAGCUGAAGAAAUGAAUCGCGAGGAAUCUGCGAUGAAAUUGAUAUUCCUAAUGAAGAUACUGAUAUUGAGAAGUUUAGUGGUUCGUGAAGAAAAUCAUUCUGAAGAAUUUGAAGCCUGAAGAUUUACACUUUCUGUUUUACUUUCUUCGCAUUUGAGUAAUAGGAACACCGUACUGUUAAAGGGGGUCGAAGUUACACUAUGGAAUGAAUUUCCUCAUGAUGCUCAACCCAAGCCUAAUCCUACCAAAAGCCUCAAGUGAGGAAUAUGAGUGACAUGAGGACUCUCACAGUUGAGGGUUCCGACCGUUUUGAUAACCACGCCAAGUCACUGGUCUUAUCCACUCCAACGGUCAUAUUAUUUAAGGGCAUUAGUGUCAAAUCAUGUCGGCAUGCUCCCAGGCUAUAAAUAGCCACCCCCACAACCACUAGCUAGUUGGCUGCUCCGUUAGAAACUGACACUUGUCAUAAGAGCAACCCAAAUUCCUCAGAGCCUUCGAGAGUAAUUCAUCAGUGAGGAAAUACCCCAUACACCGAAACUACAACCAAACCAAGUGACUGAGCAUCACUGAAGAAGUUGUUCCUGUGUGGGACUGAAGCCUUUUACCUUCGAGGACUGUGCAUCCUCCAGACGGUUAGGCGUCAUGGUCUAGAGCAAUCCAGCAGUCAAUUGUGGAUCGCCGGAUGACCAAGUUUGUGAGGAUUUGGAAGUCUGUCCUGAAGACUUACCACGAGUGUUGGGCGAGGACUGUGUGUCCUUAGCUCAAGGAGAAUACGGUAGGGAUUGUGUGUCCCGGGACUGGGUGUCCUUUGGUUUCAAUACCAAGCCGCUCCAAACCAGAUGUACAACUAUCACAACAGUUGGAACUGGGUCAUCAACAACUGUCUUCACUGAGAAACGGGUUCUAAUUCCUCAACUCUUUACUUUCCGUGUAUUGUGUGUUGAUGACUUUCACUAUGAUUGUUUGAAGAAUUUCCUGAAGACUUUCUCUGAAUUUCCUCAACUCCAAAUUCUUCACGAUAGUUAAUCAUCAUCUGUAUUCUGCUUGCCUGCUUACUGUGCAACCUGUUUUCACAUUCUUCACUCUGAAAUACUGCUGUUGUGAACGUUUGCACGUCUGAUCCUUUACUGUUUCCGCUGUAAGUUAGUCAUCAGUGAGGAAUUUCCUCAAAAGGAAUUUCCUCAGUGAUGAAAUUCUAAAAAUCUCCUAUUCACCCCCCUCUAGUCGAUAUAACGCACUUUCAAUUGGUAUCAGAGCAAGAUACUCCCUUGUUCUAUGUGAUUUUGGUUUAACCACCUGGAGUUUUAGUUAUGUCGACUGCAGGCAUGUUUAAGGUGUCUGCAGCAUGUCCUACCUACGAAGGAAAGAACUUUCCCUUCUGGAAGAACAAAAUGCAAAUGCAUUUACAAGCUAUUGAUAAUGAUCUCUGGUAUACUGUGGAAAAUGGUGUCCUCAUUAUCUCUGCUAGUGUCACUGCUGCUGAUGUGAAGAAAUUCAAGCAACUCGAUUCUCAAGCGAAGAAUAUCAUCUGUGGCCAUCUGAGCCCAAGCAAGUUUGGAAGAGUAAGUGCUUUGGCUCUGCAACACUGAUCUGGGAGAGACUGUGCAAGGUAAAUGAAGGAGUAUCAACCCAGCGUGACUCUCGUGUUGAUAUUCUUCGCAAUCUCUUCAAUCGCUUCAAGAGACAUGACAAUGAAAGAUGCCAAGACACCUUUGAUCGCCUCACUGACAUAUCAAAUGAACUGCAAGCACUGGGAGCUCGAGACAUCACUAAUCACGAAGUUGUGAAGAAACUGCUGAGAUCUUUGGAUUCUUCAUUUGAUACUUUAGUUCUGAUGAUUCAAGAAAGACCAGAUUACAAGAUGCUUGAUCCAGCUGACAUACUAGAAAGGCUAAAUACUCAUGAAUUCCAGCUAGAAGAAAAGAGAGAUCUAUAUGGACCAAGCUAUUCCAGACCACGUGCACUGAAGGCUAGAGCAAUUUCCUCAUCUGAAGACGAAGACACAGAUGACAGCAUUUGUGACCCUGAAGAAUUUGGACAGGAGCUUGCAAUGCUCGUGAGGAAAUUCCAGAGAUUUACACGACGUGGCCAGUUCGGUAAAUCUUUAAGAAGAGACAUGAGGAAAUCAGAAUCUUCAUCUGAGGACUACAAGAAACAAACUUGUCACAGGUGCAAGAAAUCAGGUCAUUACAUUGCUGAUUGUCCCCGUUGGGGAAAGGAAUCAAAGAAGAAGAAAUACAAGGAUGACAGUUCUGAUGACUCGAAGAAGAAGAAGAAAUCUUCAAAAUCCUCAUCUUCAAAGCCCUCAUCACACAAGAAGACUAGUUUCAGAAAAGCUCGGGCACUUAUUAGCAAGGAAAUGGACUCCGAGGCAGAAUCAGAGGAAUGUGAUGAAGAAGAGGGUUCUGGAGAAGACUCAGAAUCUGGACAGGCUAGUCUUUCACUAGCAACCACUUUCGUCAGCAAGUCAAUCUUCAAUCUUGAAGAAAAUGAUUGCACCAUCCAUACUGAUGACUAUGCUGCUGACUUCGCUCCAACCUAUUGCUUCAUGGCAAAAGGUUCAAAGGUAUCAAAUAAUGCCUCCUCCUCUGAUUCAAGUGAUUCAAGUGACUGUGAAGAAAAUGAUUAUAAGAAACCCAGUUACAGUAAACUUGCUAUCAUUGCCACUAAACAACAAACUGCUCUGGAAAAGCUUCAGAAACUGCUAGACAAAAGUGAUGAUCUGUUGAAUGAUGAAAGGAACCUUACCCAAAUCCUCACUGAUGACAUGAAAAGUCUUCAGUCUAGAUUUGAUAAUCUUCGGGAUCGUUAUGAUACACUCCUCACUGAUCAUGAGAAGCUUUCCUAUGAAUUUCUUCAAAGGAAGCUUGAUCUUGAGAAGCUGAGGAUGUCUCAUGAUGAUCUUCGUAUGGAAAAUGAUUCAUUACUAGCUCAACAGAUCAGCGCUAGUCAAGUUGAAUUUAUUCCUCCAUGUCUUAAAUGCAUUGAACGCGAAACUACUAAUUCCUCACCAGAAUCAUCAAAUGCUACCAUCGCUACAAAUUCUUCAACUGCACCUGUUGUGUCUAUUUCCUCACUUGAGGAAAACACAAAUGUUACUGAUGAAAAUGCACGGUUGAAGGAAUUGUACGUGACAGACAUGUACAAAAGCCUCAAAGGACAUCAAACCCUUUGUGAUGUGCUCAAAAAGCAGAUCUUGAACAGGAACCCGAGGAAAGAAGGAAUUGCCUUUGAGAGAAAAUUAAAUGCUGAUGGAUGUUAUUGGAAACCUGAGCAGUAUCCCAAAACCUCAUGGGUUGCUGCUACUGGGCCUCCUUUUGAUCCAUCUAAUCUAACUGGCUUUUCAUGUGAAUUAUCCUAUUCCUCGGAUGAGUCAUUUGAUUCCAACUAUAAACUGUUCAAAAAUAAAUCUGGUGAAGUAUUUGCUUGAUAUGUUGGAACUAACUGCAGGAAUGGCCCUCCCCUGAGGAAAAUCUGGGCUCCCAAAAGCUGUCUUGAAAAUCUUCAGGUCAAUGUCCUCAUGACACCACCACUGAAGAAUCUGAACCCCAGAUCAAAUUCCUCAGGAGAACCAAAGUCUUCAAGAGGAUCAAAAUCCUCAACUGGUCAAAACUAUGCUCUUACCCGUGCUUAUGCGUCUAACAUGCAGGGAAACUACAAGGAUUAUGAAUAUGAGCGUUACUCCUCAAAUCAUUAUGUUCAUAAAUCCUCGAACCAGUUCUCUGCAUAUUCAUAUGAGUAAUUUAAUCCCCCUACUGUUAAGAGAAAUGCAUUAGCUUCAAUGCCACCUUUCUCAUAUGGUGCUCGCAGGAUGAUGAACGCUUUGCCACCCCUUCAUAUGUGGGUGGUGAAGAAAUCAAACUAAUCACUUCUGCAGGUCAGGUCUCCAGAUGAAAAUCAUCAUCUAAAGAAUUUGCUGGAGAUCUAAAGAAAUGCUUGAUAGGACACAAGCUAAUGAUUGAUGAAAUAGAAAUAUUUCACACGUCCUUACAUUUUUGUUAUGAUGAAAUUACUGAUCUGAUGAAAUUAGUAUCAUAUUCUUCAAAAAUGAAGCAUAUGAGAUGGUAAGCUAUACUAAUUCAUCUGCAGGAUGACAAACCCAAGAAUACUGAGUGGGUUCUUGAUAGUGGCUGCACACAUCACAUGACUGGUGAUAAAAUCUUACUGAUGAAUAUGCCACUAACUCCAUCACCUCUGAAGCAAAUCACAUAUGCUGACAAAGGUAAAAGCAAGGUAUUGGGACUUGGCAAAGUGGCUAUUUCCAAGGAUAGGCACAUGGAAAAAGUGAUUCUUGUUGAAUCCCUUGGUUUUAACCUCAUGUCAGUCUCCAUGCUUUGUGAUCUUGAUAUGAUUGUCAUCUUUGGUAGAUAUAGAUGUGUAGUCAUCAUGGAAUCUGACAGAUCCAAAGUCUUUGAAGGUGUAAGGAGAGGGGAUUUGUACAUUGUUGAUUUUUCUACAGGUCCUCAACCAGCCACUUGCUUACUAGCAAAAACCUCAGAAGGAUGGCUGUGGCACCGAAGACUAGGUCAUGCAGGCAUGAGGAAUUUGCACACGCUCGCGAAGAAGAAGCAUGUCAUCGGCAUCGAAUCAGUAAAAUUCCUCAAGGAUCAUCUCUGCGGUGCUUGUGAAUCUGGGAAAAUGACCAAAUCCAAGUAUCCCUUUAAAACCAUUAUGACCACUACACGUCCAUUCGAAUUGCUUCAUAUGGAUUUAUCUGGACCUACUCACUAUGCCACACUAACCAAUGCAGCAUCUUUAUAUGGCUUUGUCAUAGUUGAUGAUUAUUCUAGAUAUACAUGGGUGCAUGUCAUAGUGUAUAAAACUGAAGUGCAGGAAAUCUUCAAACGAUUUUCUUCAAGGGCCUCGACGAACUUUGGCAUCAAGAUCAAGCAUAUCAGGAGUGAUAAUGGAACCGAGUUCAAAAACACUGGUCUUGAUGAUUAUCUUGAUGAACUUGGUAUUACUCACGAAUUGUGUGCUCCUUAUACUCCUCAGCAGAAUGGUGUCAUCGAACGGAAGAACAGGACUCUGGUUGAAAUGGCUAGAACUAUGCUUGAAGAAUAUCAGCCUCGUCGCUUUUGGCCUGAAGCAAUCAACAUUGCAUGUCAUAUCAUCAACAGGGUAUAUCUUCACAAAUUCCUCAAGAAAACCUCAUAUGAACUCCUCACUGACAAGAAACCCAAUGUAAGUUAUUUCAAAGUCUUCGGUGCAAAAUGCUGGAUUAGAGAUCCUCACCAUAGCUCAAAAUUUGCACCUAAGGCACAUGAAGGUUUUAUGCUCGGUUAUGGAAAGGACUCGCACACUUACAAAGUCUUCAACAACUAUCACAACAAAGUUGUUGAGACUGUAGAUGUGCGGUUCGAUGAAACUAAUGGCUCGCAAAGAGAGCAAUUGCCUUCUGAUCCAGAUAAGCUGUCUCCUGACGAAGCAAUAAAGCUCAAGCUUACUGAAGUCAUUGUCCCCACCGAGGAAAUUGGUGAAGAAACGAUCCCCAUCGCUGACAAAAACCAAGAAGAUGCUCCUGAGGAAAUUGCACCAGCACCACUUCCUCAGCCCAGACAAAAUCCUCAACUAGCUCAUCCAAGGAUUGCAAACGAAGUAGAACUUGACAAAAUCCUCAACGACAUCAACGCGCCAGGUCCUCUCACUCGCUCAAAAGCUUCACACUUAGUUAACUUUUGUGGGCACUUUUCCUUUGUAUCCAUCACAGAACCCUCAAAAGUUGCUGAGGCUUUUCUGGAACCGGAAUGGAUCCAAGCUAUGCAAGACGAACUUCUUCAAUUCAAGCUGAAUGACGUAUGGGAGCUCGUCAAACAACCAGAUCCUCGCAAGCACAACAUCAUCGGCACUAAGUGGAUCUUUCGAAACAAGCAAGAUGAGGACGGUCAAGUGGUGAGGAACAAGGCACGCCUUGUAUCCCAAGGCUACACCCAGGUUGAAGGAAUAGAUUUCGAUGAAACUUUUGCACCUGUUGCUAGACUUGAAGCUAUUCGAAUAUUACUUGCUUAUGCUAAUCAUCAUAACAUCACCUUAUAUCAAAUGGAUGUGAAAAGUGCAUUCCUCAAUGGUAAACUUGAGGAAGAAGUAUAUGUUGCUCAACCUCCAGGUUUUGAGGAUCCAAAGAAUCCAGACAAAGUCUUCACACUCAAAAAGGCUCUGUAUGGCCUCAAGCAAGCCCCUCGGGCAUGGUAUGAUACAUUGAAGGAAUUUCUCAUGAAGAAAGGCUUCAAACCUGGUUCACUCGAUCCAACUCUUUUCACUAAAUCCUAUGAUAAUGAGCUGUUUGUAUGUCAAAUAUAUGUCGAUGAUAUCAUUUUUGGCUGUACUGACAAAAGAUACAGUGAUGAAUUUGCCUACAUGAUGAGUGAAGAAUAUCAGAUGUCCAUGAUGGGGGAGCUGAAAUUCUUCUUAGGUCUUCAAAUUCGUCAACAAAGCAAUGGAAUAUUCAUAUCACAGGAGAAAUACCUCAAGGAUGUUCUGAGGAAAUUCGACAUGCACGAAUGCAAAGGUGCCAAGACUCCAGUGCCUACCAACGGCCACCUCGGCACUAAUGAAAAUGGUAAAGAUUUCGAACAGCAGGUAUAUCGUUCUAUGAUUGGCUCCUUAUUGUAUCUAUGUCCAUCUAGGCCAGAUAUAAUGCUUAGUGUUUGCAUGUGUGCACGUUUUCAAGCAAAACCGAAGGAAUCACACCAUAAGGCUGUGAAACAUAUUCUUCGAUACUUAGCUCACACACCAACACUAGGAUUAUGGUAUCCCAAGGGCUCCAAUCUUCAUCUGGUAGGGUAUUCUGAUUCAGACUAUGUUGGUGAUCGUGUGGAUCGCAAGUCAACUUCUGGCACAUGCCAUUUCCUCGGAAGAUCACUAGUUUUCUGGUUCUCAAAGAAGCAGAACUGCGUAUCACUCUCCACUGUCGAAGCUGAGUACAUUGCUGCUGGUUCUUGCUGUGCUCAAUUGCUAUGGAUGAAGCAAACCCUCAGAGACUACGACACCAACAUGAAGAAUGUGCCUCUCUAGUGUGACAAUGAGAGUGCUAUCAAGAUUGCAUACAACCCAGUACAGCACUCGAAGACCAAGCACAUCCAGAUUCGUCAUCAUUUUCUUCGGGACCAUGUCCUCAAGGGCAAUAUCCUCAUCGACCAUGUGAAGACUGAUGAUCAACUGGCAGAUAUCUUCAUUAAGCCCUUCGAUGAGAAAAGGUUUUGCAAGUUGCGGUGUGAGCUAAAUAUCUUAGAAUCUUCAAAUGUUUUGUAAAAACAUGCACACAUCCUAACACUUAUGCAAAGUUGAUGACUUUGAUGUGCAACACAUGAUGAAUCGAUUUUCUUCAACUAAUGAAGAAUGUCACUCUGAAUGUGAAGAAAUUAACGAAGAAAUUGAUUCUUAGGGCCCUACGACAAUUGUACGCGGUGUCUGUAAUCAACAUUCUUAUAUGGUGGGUAACGCCACCGCCCAAUGUGAAAUUCCUCAAGUUGAUUUUCUUCAAAUGAUAAAUGUCCUCACAAUGCGUUUUUCUUCAAAAACAGUUGUUCUUCAUUGUGAUGAUUUAUUACAAAAUCUUCAAAAACACUUGAUGACUUUCAUUUGACUAGAUAGACUGUGAUUUCUAGUCCUCAACAACAUUCACUUAUUGCUAUUUCUUCAAGUUGAUGUUUCUGCUAAGUGAAUGUGAUCGGACCCUACUUUCCCUCUAUGCUAUACUUAUCCAGUCUAUUCAAUUCUUCAUAUGCGUUCUAUUUGAAACCUUGUUCAAAAUCCUCACUGCAUCCUUGCCAGCUGAUGAUUUUGUAACGAAAAUCCUCAAAUCUUCAAAAUUGUUUUAUUUAAAGGCACAGUAACUGAACCCCCACUUCCCACGGUCGGAUAACCACGAUCUCCACUAUCUCCACCGCAUCGUACGGGAGCUACACGUGUCCUGCGGAGACGUAGAGGAAGGGGCUAUUUUGUCCGACAUUUUCGCGCCAACAGUAACUUUUGGCUAUAAAUAUGUCCUUAUCCCCCUCGGCAUCCUCUUCUUCGCCUCAUCGCUCUCCUGCCACAGCACACUCCACCGAACCCUAGCGCCACCACUGGUAGUCUCGUCGCCGGUGAGGAAGAGCUUCACUGCCUCGACUUCUUCGUCGCCAGAAUCACACCGGAGUUGAACCAUCUUCGCCCGCCGCCGUCGUAGACGUCCUCUGUCGACGAGUUAGGGUGCAUUGGACACUCGAAUGAAGAGCCUCUCCACACACAACUUUCUGUGUUCUUUGUGCGCACCUUCCAGGGUAAAUAUAUCCCAUUUUUACAGCAAGUUAGAUCUAAAAUUUUACAUCCUCUAUGUGAAAUCUGUUUCACCUCAAGAUACGAUGCGCACUUGAUUCCUCAAACACUACCUAUCACCACAAUCAUUGAUGAACGAUACUAAGCAUCUAAGAUUAUCACGAGAUUCCUCAAUUGUGCGAAUUGUCGGAUCUGUAAAACUCUGGAACCCAAGAACAGUAUGCUUAGGCAAAUUCCUCAAUCACUGGUUAUAUUCCUCAAACUGUCAAACUUUUCCAUUUUCUUCAAAUCUGAGAACGCAUAUGACCUCUCCAAAUUCCUCACAACCAUACUCUGUUUAUAGGUACACACAUGUCAGCUGAUGAAUCUCUCGGUUCUCAUCACAUUAACUCAUUUGCAGCGUUUCUGGAAGAAACUCUUCAAGGCUCAUCAGAAUCCUCAAGAGUUCAAAAUCAUCAGCAAAAUCCUCAACUGAGGAAAAUGGAGGAAGACAGAAAACAGAAGGGAGGAAAGAAACUUGAGCAAAACACAGCUGUUGAUAUCCCUGAGGACAUUUACUUGGACUAUUGUACGUCUGAUGAAAAUGAGACAAUGGCCAAGAGAAAGAUACGGUUGCAGAAGAUUGAACGCCGAUGGGCGAAGGAAUGGAAGGAGUACAGGUUUUUGACUCCCAAAUAUGCGAAGAAAUUCGCUUUGAAGCCUCCUGGCAGAAGGGCCCCACUUGAGGACCAUCAAGUUGCACAUCCCUCAAGCCUCAAGACCAUUGAUGACUAUCCAGAUGAAAAGGAAAAGCAUCUGGCCAAGCUCAAGAGGCAGGCAGAAGCUGCAGUGAGGAAAUUUAAUGAAUCCUCAGCUGCUGCCUCCGGUGCUGCUAAUUCCUCAGCAGCAGAAACCUCAGGCUCAGAAAUUCCUCAAAUGCAGUCUGUGCCAUCAAAGCGAAGGGUCCAAAGCCUCAAGAGAAGUCUGCUCAGGCUUCUGUCACAAAACCCUCAGCACCAAAACCCACAUUACCAAAACCUUCAACACCAAAACCAUCAGCGCCAAAACCUCAGCCCCAAUCUCCUCCGCAUCAAAAACCUCAGCUCCACCUCCAAAGCCUCAAGAGAAACCAGUACAGAAGCAAGUCAUGAAGCCUACGACCGCCAGCUCCAGCUCCUCACUCCCAGCUGCAACUAGCUCAGAGACAAAGUCUUCAACACCUCCUGUGAAGACUUUGGCAACUGCUGAACGUGCACCUCUGCCCAGCCCCAACAAAAUCAUCGCAGUUCCGUCUGCAUCAGAGGGAAGUGAUGAAUAUGAUGAUGAAACCCUGCAAGCCAUCAUCAGAAACAAGCAAGAAAGAGUAGCUCAAGCAUCAGGCAGUGUUAUUCCUCUGGCCAUGGACCCCAAGGUCCUCCUUGACUACAUCAAUAUCUGGUAUGAGGACCCAAACACUCCUAUUGAUGAUUUGAAACUUCCCCCUGGCAUCAGCCACAUGGUGGCCACUUUCAUAAAUGAGGCCAAGUGGAAAGAACAGCAGGCCAGGCAGGCAAAGGUUGCAAAGAUCAAAAAGGAGAAAUUCCUCAGGCAGAAUCUCCUCAAACUGACUCCUGAUGCACUGGUGACAACACAGGAAGAGCUGCAGAAAUUGACUGACAAGUACGCCAAGCUGUCAGAUCACAAAAGCAUCAAAGCAAUUUCAUCAAGCUGGCCACUAGUGCUGUUGAUGACUACAACAAGAGAACCGCACCCCCAGCACCAACUCCUCAGCUUUUGGUUGAGGAGCCAGCAGAUGCAUCUCCUCAUGAGGAGGAAACUCCUCAAGCUGAGGAAGUACACCAAGAGCGACGUGUUGAUGAACUGGCCAUUGAAGAAAUCAUCACGGAAACUCCAACUGAUGAAAUUGCUGCCGUUGAUGAGACUGCUCCUGAUCCAGCUGCUUCAUCAAAGCAGGCUGAUGACUCUGUUCCAGCUGGUUCCUCACUACGAGCUGAAGAAACUGAAGAGAGAACACCUUCACCAAAAGCUUCAAAGGUGAAGAAGAUAAUUCCGUCUGCAACAGACGUGAAGAAAACAAGGGCUGCUGAAAAGGAAGCCAAGAAGAGAAAAGCCUCCUCAGCAGUAGAAGAGACAGAGGCAAAGCACCUCAAAGAAAUUGAAGAAACUGCUCCUCUGGACCCGGUGCCUCUCAAUGUCGCCCCUUCCUAUGAGAUGGUUGUCAUUGAUGACCCAGCUACGAAGGCAGAUGAGGAAAUGAAGGAUGUCGCCCCUGAGGAACACACUGAUGAGGAAAUUAAGAUUGACGACAGUCCUCAACCUCUUAUUCCUCAGACAGAAACUGCUCAAGCAUCAGGUGCACCAGCUGAUGAAACUGCUUCUGCCACAAAGCCAGCUGCGGAAGAACAAGCUGAAAAUCCUCAUGCUGACGAAAUUCAACAUUCUGAGAAGACUCCUCAAGAUGAGGAACAGGCUGACCCAACUCCACAAACUGAGAAAGAAGCAGAAAUUCCUCAGCCUGAAGCUCAGCCAGAGCAAGCAUCAUCUCCUCACCAUGAAGUACCAGCUGAUGAAAUUCCUCACUCUGAGGAAAAUGCCGAAGAAAUGUACCCGCCCAAGACAACGCAUUCAUUGUCUCCCCCCUAUUCCUCAGCAAAAUUUUCAGCCAGUUCAGCGUUAGCCAUUCUCCAAGCGUCCAAAGUUUCAGAAAGAAAAUUUCUUUGAAGAACGCAUGUACUUCAUCGGAGAGAACCCUUAUGACAAGCCUGAAAUGAGGCAUCUGAAGUUUUGUACAAGGACUCAGAUGAACCACUAUGCCUCUGUGCUCUGUGGACGCAACCAGAUAUUUCAGCACAGGCAUAUUCCUCAUGUUGAGCUUGAAGCAGUACCUUGCAUGGAGCCAGUCCUCAGUGUUCUUCACGAUGCAGGUUUGCUCCCAAUGUGCUCAGACAUAUCAGACUGGAACAGCGAGCUUAUUCUUCAGUUCUAUGCCACUCUUCAUAUCUGGCAACCCUGAAGACAUCAACACUAUGGUGUUUGACUGGAUGUCACAAAACACUCACUACAAGGCUCCUGCUUCUGAACUCCUCAGAGAACUGCCCGUAUCAAUUCCCUUAGAUGGGGCAGUGAAGCUUUAUGGUGAGCGUGAGCUGCCAAAUGGAAUGAUGGAAGUCCUCAUGAAGCCUUUGGCUGCAGGCAAAUCUUCAAGAACAACCUUCCUCGUCCACGAGCUGAAGUACACACCCCGGUCUGUCUACAGAAUCCUCUGCAGCGUGCUCGCACCGAUCAAAGGCCAUGACGAUGAAGAAGAUGUUGUAGGCCUCAUGAAGAAUAUCUUCUUCAACAUCAUUCACGGUAUUCCUAUCAAUAUCCAUGAUUUCUUCUUGAGGACUUUAGCCGACAAUGCCAUGUGCCCCUUUGAUCACAAGAUAUAUGCCCCGUGGAUCAUGAGAUUCAUCGGGACAAGGACAGGCAUCAACUUUCACGCUGAUUGUCAAAACCAUGUUGGUUAUAUGCCUCCUAUCCGAGUCAACAAGAAGACUUUCGAGCCCAUUGAAGGAAAAGGAAAAUCUGUGAUUGAAGAAGGCAGUAGGCCCCUUGAUGGCCAGUUCAGAGAGCCAGAAGCUUAUUCUUCAUGGGACGAUACUCAGACUCGUCCAGCAAGCCCCGUUCCUCCUCGCGUGCUGAAUACCAGAGAGCUCCUCCUCAGUCUUCACCAGAAGGUGGAUCGCAACCACAAAUGGGACAAACGCCAGUUUGGUGCCAUUGUGAAAACCCUCACUGAAACACAGAACUCUGUGAAGAUUAACCAUCACUAUCUGCAUGAGGUUUUCGAUCGCAUCUGGGCUACACUUGCACAUCUGAAGACUCAGACUGAGCUUGAAGAAAUGAACUUUGAGCGAGACUUUGACUGGUCGUGGCCUCCCAAGAAGAAGUUCAGGCCCAUUCCAGUGCCAGACCUUGAAGACAGCUCCUUUUCUUCAUUCCGCACUGCUGAAUCUGAUGAAGAACAACUCGACACUGCAACUGGCCCAAGGAAGAAGACUACUCCGAAGAAGCAUCACGGCUCUUCCUCAACCGCCAAGAAAUGAAGUCUUCACGGGCGUUCGUCCUCAGUUUGUCCCUUUUUGUCACUUGAUGACAAAGGGGGAGAAACUCGAGAGUUAGCCUUCAAGCGGGAUAUUUUUGGGGCUUAUAAACUAUAUUUAAGUUACAAACUCUUGGCUCUUCUGAAAUUUUUAUGUAAAGAGUUGUAACUUAAGCCCGAUGGUACUCUGACGCUUUUGAACGUUUUUCUUCGCAUGCUUAUUCCUCAAGUUUUAAUGCACGCAUGCUGGAAUUCGUUAGAUACCAUUUGCCAUCAUGCAUCUUCAUUUUCUUCAGAUGAUAUGUUAUAUGCAUGCAUGAUGUACAAGACUCAGGGGGAGAUCUCCAUGAUAUAAAUCAUCAAUGUGCAUUUGCUAUAAAAGCAAAAUCCUCAAGAUAUGCACAUCUUCAGGGGGAGUUUCUCUGAAUCUUGUUUUCAAAUUCCUCAAAUGAGUAUUUACACUUCAUAUUUUUGAUCCCUGUUGAAGACUUAACCUAAUUGUCAUCAACCACCAAAAAGGGAGAGAUUGUAAGUGCAUCUAGUGCCCCUUAGUGAUUUUGGUGGAUUGAAGACUUAUAUGUUAAGUAUCUAAUGUGUUUGUGAGUAUACACAGGAUCUAUAAGUCAUUGAGGAGUUUGAGAUAUUUGAAGAAUAUCGACCCCUAAAAAUAUAUGUCUUCAGUUGAAGAAAUUGAUCUAAAGCUGAAGAAAUGAAUCGCGAGGAAUCUGCGAUGAAAUUGAUAUUCCUCAUGAAGAUACUGAUAUUGAGAAGUUCGGUGGUUCCUGAAGAAAAUCAUUCUGAAGAAUUUCAAGCAUGAAGAUUUACACUUUCUGUUUUACUUUCUUCGCAUUUGAGUAAUAGGAACACCGUACUGUUAAAGGGGGUCGAAGUUACACUAUGGAAUGAAUUUCCUCAUGAUGCUCAACCCAAGCCUAAUCCUACCAAAAGCCUCAAGUGAGGAAUAUGAGUGACAUGAGGACUCUCACAGUUGAGGGUUCCGACCGUUUUGAUAACCACGCCAAGUCACUGGUCUUAUCCACUCCAACGGUCAUAUUAUUUAAGGGCAUUAGUGUCAAAUCAUGUCGGGAUGCUCCCAGGCUAUAAAUAGCCACCCCCCCACAACCACUAGCUGGUUGGCUGCUCCGUUAGAAACUGACACUUGUCAUAACAGCAACCCAAAUUCCUCAGAGCCUUCUAGAGUAAUUCAUCAGUGAGGAAAUACCCCAUACACCGAAACCACAAACCAAACCAAGUGAUUGAGCAUCACUGAAGAAGUUGUUCCUGUGUGGGACUGAAGCCUUUUACCUUCGAGGACUGUGCAUCCUCCAGACGGUUAGGCGUCAUGGUCUAGAGCAAUCCAGCAGUCAAUUGUGGAUCGCCGGAUGACCAAGUUUGUGAGGAUUUGGAAGUCUGUCCUGAAGACUUACCACGAGUGUUGGGCGAGGACUGUGUGUCCUUAGCUCAAGGAGAAUACGGUAGGGAUUGUGUGUCCCGGGACUGGGUGUCCUUUCGUUUCAAUACCAAGCCGCUCCAAACCAGAUGUACAACUGUCACAGCAGUUGGAACUGGGUCAUCAACAACUGUCUUCACUGAGAAACGGGUUCUAAUUCCUCAACUCUUUACUUUCUGUGUAUUGUGUGUUGAUGACUUUCACUAUGAUUGUUUGAAGAAUUUCCUGAAGACUUUCUCUGAAUUUCCUCAACUCCAAAUUCUUCACGAUAGUUAAUCAUCAUCUGUAUUCUGCUUGCCUGCUUACUGUGCAACCUGUUUUCACAUUCUUCACUCUGAAAUACUGUUGUUGUGAACGUUUGCACGUCUAAUCCUUUACUGUUUCCGCAGUAAGUUAGUCAUCAGUGAGGAAUUUCCUCAAAAGGAAUUUCCUCAGUGAUGAAAUUCUAAAAAGCUCCUAUUCACCCCCCUCUAGUCGAUAUAACGCACUUUCAAGUCGUAGAAGAAGAAGAAGAAGAAGAAGAAGUAGUAGUAGUAGUAGUAGUAGUAGUAGUAGUAGUAGUGGUAGUAGUAGAAGAAGAAGAAGAAGAAGUAGUAGUAGUGGUAGCAGUAGUAGUAGUAGUAGUAUAAGAAGAAGAAGAAGAAUAAGAAGAAGAAGUAGAAGUAGAAGUAGUAGUAGUAGUAGUAGUAGUAGUAGUAGUAGUAGUAGUAGUAGUAGUAGUAGUAGU
rnacentral:lncRNA from 1 species